CAGCGCCACGAGUGGCAACCGCGAUUAUUGGGCCUAAAGCGUCCGUAGCCGGUUUGGUAAAUCUUUCGUGAAAUUGUACAGCUCAACUGUACAGCGUGCAAGAGACACUGCCAAACUCGAGACCGGGAGGAGUCAGAAGUAUUCCAGGGGGAGCGGUAAAAUGUUAUAAUCCCUGGAGGACUACCUGUGGCGAAGGCGUCUGACCAGAACGGAUCUGACGGUGAGGGACGAAAGCCAGGGGAGCGAACCGGAUUAGAUACCCGAGUAGUCC
rnacentral:rRNA from 1 species